rnacentral:rRNA from 1 species
AGUAUAAGCAACUAUACGGUGAAACUGCGAAUGGCUCAUUAAAUCAGUUAUCGUUUAUUUGAUAGUACCUUACUACAUGGAUAACCGUGGUAAUUCUAGAGCUAAUACAUGCUAAAAACCCCGACUUCGGAAGGGGUGUAUUUAUUAGAUAAAAAACCAAUGCCCUUCGGGGCUCCUUGGUGAAUCAUAAUAACUUAACGAAUCGCAUGGCCUUGCGCCGGCGAUGGUUCAUUCAAAUUUCUGCCCUAUCAACUUUCGAUGGUAGGAUAGUGGCCUACCAUGGUAUCAACGGGUAACGGGGAAUUAGGGUUCGACUCCGGAGAGGGAGCCUGAGAAACGGCUACCACAUCCAAGGAAGGCAGCAGGCGCGCAAAUUACCCAAUCCCGACACGGGGAGGUAGUGACAAUAAAUACUGAUACAGGGCUCUUUUGGGUCUUGUAAUUGGAAUGAGUACAAUUUAAAUCCCUUAACGAGGAACAAUUGGAGGGCAAGUCUGGUGCCAGCAGCCGCGGUAAUUCCAGCUCCAAUAGCGUAUAUUAAAGUUGUUGCAGUUAAAAAGCUCGUAGUUGAACCUUGGGCCUGGCUGGCCGGUCCGCCUCACCGCGUGUACUGGUCCGGCCGGGCCUUUCCUUCUGGGGAACCUCAUGCCCUUCACUGGGCGUGCUGGGGAACCAGGACUUUUACUUUGAAAAAAUUAGAGUGUUCAAAGCAGGCCUUUGCUCGAAUACAUUAGCAUGGAAUAAUAGAAUAGGACGUGUGGUUCUAUUUUGUUGGUUUCUAGGACCGCCGUA